UACAGAGGUCCCAAGCGUUGUUCGGAUUCACUGGGCGUAAAGGGCUCGUAGGCGGCCAACUAAGUCAGACGUGAAAUCCCUCGGCUUAACCGGGGAACUGCGUCUGAUACUGGUUGGCUUGAGUGUGGGAGAGGGAUGCGGAAUUCCAGGUGUAGCGGUGAAAUGCGUAGAUAUCUGGAGGAACACCGGUGGCGAAGGCGGCAUCCUGGACCAUUACUGACGCUGAGGAGCGAAAGCCAGGGGAGCAAACGGG
rnacentral:rRNA from 1 species